rnacentral:rRNA from 1 species
GACGAACGCUGGCGGCGUGCUUAACACAUGCAAGUCGAACGGAAAGGCCCUGCUUUUGUGGGGUGCUCGAGUGGCGAACGGGUGAGUAACACGUGAGUAACCUGCCCUUGACUUUGGGAUAACUUCAGGAAACUGGGGCUAAUACCGGAUAGGAGCUCCUGCUGCAUGGUGGGGGUUGGAAAGUUUCGGCGGUUGGGGAUGGACUCGCGGCUUAUCAACUUGUUGGUGGGGUAGUGGCUUACCAAGGCUUUGACGGGUAGCCGGCCUGAGAGGGUGACCGGCCACAUUGGGACUGAGAUACGGCCCAGACUCCUACGGGAGGCAGCAGUGGGGAAUAUUGCACAAUGGGCGGAAGCCUGAUGCAGCAACGCCGCGUGCGGGAUGACGGCCUUCGGGUUGUAAACCGCUUUCGCCUGUGACGGAGCGUGAGUGACGGUAAUGGGUAAAGAAGCACCGGCUAACUACGUG